rnacentral:lncRNA from 1 species
AUCUUUAUUUUUUUCAAAAAUAUUUUCAAAAUUUAAUUUUAAAUUUUUAUUUUCUUCAAGAAUAUUUUCAAAUUCUGAAUUUAAAUUUUUAUUUUCUUCAGAAAUAUUUUCAAAAUUUAAUUUUAAACUUUUGAAAUCAAUUUUCAAGUUCUUAUGAGCUUUAUCUAAUUUUUCAGAUUCUACAAGUAAAGCAGCUUAAGUUUCAUGCAAUUCACUUUCACUAUAUUGACUAUAAUUAUCAGAAUCGCUAGAUGUACUUACUUGGCUUCCAACGUCGUCGUCUUCCACUAAACAAAUGUUUGCCUCUUCAUCAGAUUCGCUCAGAUCAGAAAUCGUUUCAUUGUCAUCGUCCCAUGCGAUGUAGGCUUUCUUUUUCUUGAAGGAUUUCUUUUCUUUAACUUUUUCACUCUUCUUUUGAUUUGGGCAGUCUGCUUUUAAGUGCCCCCUUUCUCCGAAACCAUAACAUCUAUAUUUUGAGGAGGAUUCUUGAUUUUCUUUCUUUUCGACUUUGAAUCUUCCUUUGUCUUUUGAUUUCAUGAACCUGUUGAGCCUUUUUAUCACGAGUCUCAGAUUUUCUUCCUCUUCUGAGUCUUCAUCUUCUAUUUUUGCUUUUGCUCCUUUCUACCUCAGAUUUUAAGGCUAGACUCUUUUUCUUUGUUUUUGCCAUUGCUUCUUCUUCAUCUAGUCUUCCAAGGUCAAGUUCAUGCUCUCUCAACUUUCCAAAUAAUGCCGCCAUAGUCAUUGUGUUGAGAUUUUUUGACUCGGAAAUUGCAGUCACU